UCACAUAUGCAUGAUUGGAUACUUUAUCCCAGUCAACAACAAAGCUUCUGUUUUUCAUCUUUACACAGAACAUUUGUUCUCCAGAAGGAUCAAAGAUAAUGCAUUUAUGAUCCUUAAACUGAAGAGAAUAGUUUUUCUCCAUCAUUUGUCCAACACUCAACAAAUUUUGACUGAUUUCAGGUAUAAAUAACACAUCAGGAAUGAUUUUGAUACCUGAACUUGUUUGAACAUUUACUGACCCUCUGCCUUUGACCUCCAGAAAUUCUCCAUUGCCA
rnacentral:lncRNA from 1 species